UACGUAGGGUGCAGGCGUUAAUCGGAAUUACUGGGCGUAAAGCGUGCGCAGGCGGUCUGCUAAGAGAGAUGUGAAAUCCCCCGGGCUUAACCUGGGGAACUGCGUUUUCUAACUGGCAGGCUCGAGCACAGUAGAGGCAGGUGGAAUUCCCGGUGUAGCGGUGGAAUGCGUAGAGAUCGGGGAAGAACAUCAGUGGCGAAGGCGGCCUGCUGGGGCUGUUGCUGACGCUGAGGCGCGACAGCGUGGGGGACA
rnacentral:rRNA from 1 species